CCGACCUUAGCUCAGUCUGGCAGAGCAUGGGACUGUAAUGGCUGAAGUAAAUCCCAGGGUCGCCUGUUCGAUCCAGGCAGGUCGGA